GUUCCUGGUGGUGAAGGAGCUGGUUCAGAUGAUGCUCGUGUUGCAGAAUCCCAGAACCCAGCACGGAGAGGAUUGAAAGGGACCUCUGGAGAUCAUCCAGUCCAACCCCCCUGCUAAAAACAGAGUCAUCCACCACAGAUUGCCCAGGAGCACCAUGUCCAGCUAAUUCACAUCAUUGUAUACAGCUGCUGAGGAGAUCAUCACGGAGAAAACCGGGAUGAGGAUGGAGCUCUGCUAGCACUUACCCUUGAAAUUCACCAUCCCAGGAGAAGGCUUCCUGCCAGUGCAGGCAUCCACUUCUAGCUGCUCCAGCUCGUGGACUGCAAGAGGACACCUGAGUUCUUGACAGCACCAAAUCUGGUUAGUGGAACUGUUGUUAUUUUGGGGGAAGAGUUCCACCUCCUUGUGAUGCCCAAGGACUGCACUUGCCAGCAGGAGAUGACCAACCCUACUUCUGGCAAGCCAUUGGUAA